rnacentral:lncRNA from 1 species
GCAACCCAACAACGGAUUGUCCGAUAUUUCAGGUCAGAUAGAUCUUUACUUAAUAGACAAUUUUACCCCAUGUCAGAUUUGCUCUAAAUGCUUUGGUUUCAGAGUUAUAAGCCAAAAUCAACAAUUUACCCCAUGUUCUAUUUUUAGCCAUGGCGGCCAUCUUGGUUGGUUGUCAGGGUCACGCCACACAUUUUUAAACUAGAUACCCCAAUGAUGAUUGUGGC